UACAGGGGGUGCAAACGUUGCUCGGAAUUAUUGGGCGCAAAGCGCGCGUAGGCGGCUAUUUAAGUCGGAUGUGAAAGCCCUUGGCUCAACUGAGGAAGUGCACCCGAAACUGAAUGGCUUGAGUACCAAAGAGGGUCGCGGAAUUCCCGGUGUAGAGGUGAAAUUCGUAGAUAUCGGGAGGAACACCGGUGGCGAAGGCGGCAUCCUGGACCAAUUCUGACGCUGAGGAGCGAAAGCCAGGGGAGCAAACGGG
rnacentral:rRNA from 1 species